rnacentral:rRNA from 1 species
CGAACGGGAUUCUUUUUGUAGCAAUACAGGGAGGGUUCAGUGGCGUAAGGGUGCGUAACACGUGGGCAAUCUGCCGGGAAGUGGGGGAUAGCUCGCCGAAAGGCGAAUUAAUACCGCAUGUGACCAGGAGGGGAAUCCCUCCGACGUCAAAGUCGGUCGCAGCAAUGCGGCUGACGCUUCCUGAUGAGCCCGCGGCCUAUCAGCUUGUUGGCGGGGUAACGGCCCACCAAGGCUAUGACGGGUAGCUGGUCUGAGAGGACGACCAGCCACACUGGAACUGAGACACGGUCCAGACACCUACGGGUGGCAGCAGUCGAGAAUUUUUCUCAAUGGGGGAAACCCUGAAGGAGCGACGCCGCGUGAAGGAUGAAGGUCUUCGGAUUGUAAACUUCUGUCAUUUGAGAACAAUGUGCACGGGUUAACUGCCUGUGCAUUGAUAGUAUCAGAAGAGGAAGAGACGGCUAACUCUGUGCCAGCAGCCGCGGUAAUACAGAGGUCUCAAGCGUUGUUCGGAUUCAUUGGGCGUAAAGGGUGCGUAGGUGGCAGGGUAAGUCGGAUGUGAAAUCCCGGGGCUCAACCUCGGAACUGCAUUCGAUACUGCUUUGCUUGAGUACUGGAGAGGAGAUUGGAAUUUACGGUGUAGCAGUGAAAUGCGUAGAUAUCGUAAGGAAGAUCAGUGGCGAAGGCGGAUCUCUGGACAGUUACUGACACUGAGGCACGAAGGCCAGGGGAGCAAACGGGAUUAGAUACCCCGGUAGUCCUGGCAGUAAACGGUGCGCGUUUGGUGUGGGAGGAUUCGACCCCUUCCGUGCCGGAGCUAACGCG